rnacentral:lncRNA from 1 species
CAAAAGGAGGAUGCAGUAGUUUUUAGUCUCAUGCCUGGACCUCAGAAUGGAUUUUCUAUUUUGGUACUAGCAUAAACAAGGAAAAGCAAUUUGAAGUCAUAUCAUUUCCUUGAGUCACUGAAUCUUUAAAGCACAAGUAUUCUUAGAGAUCCAGCUUAUCUAUCAAACACGAACAGCAUGUGUGGAUGUGGAGAUGACUCAUCCCUUUGAUCCCCAACCAUCGACACUGUCUGCUCCUGACAUCCAACCAUUGACAUCGUCAUGGCCUGAUGAUCCUCCCUCUAAUGUAUCAUCAGAAGGUUAAUAGUAGCCUAAUGCUUAUAUCAUUCACCUCACUCCAUCUCAUCAAGUAGGCAUUUUAUCAUCUCACAUCAUCACAAGAAGAAGGCAGACGCUGCCUGGAAGCUACAAUUGCUGCAAAGUGGUAACGAGGGGGCCUCCAUAGGCCACAGAUUCCGGAAUCAAGAACAGUUUGCCCAGUCUAAGAAAAUGUUGUUUGCGGAGCAUUGUAUUUCUGCCUUUUUACAGGGUAAUUCCUGUUUGAUGCCAGUCGUUAUCACAAUGAGCUGUGAAGAGAGUUGCAGGGGACCUUAGACAAAGAAUGGAAGCCAAUGGAAAGAGAUAACCUUUGACCACCCAGCCCAUAAGUGGUUUAAGGGAUUGGC